rnacentral:rRNA from 1 species
AGGAACCUGCCUUGGAGAGGGGAAUAACACUCCGAAAGGAGUGCUAAUACCGCAUGAUGCAGUUGGGUCGCAUGGCUCUGACUGCCAAAGAUUUAUCGCUCUGAGAUGGCCUCGCGUCUGAUUAGCUAGUAGGCGGGGUAACGGCUCACCUAGGCGACGAUCAGUAGCCGGACUGAGAGGUUGACCGGCCACAUUGGGACUGAGACACGGCCCAG